AUACGGGGGGUGCAAGCGUUGUUCGGAAUUAUUGGGCGUAAAGAGCGUGUAGGCGGCUUGGUAAGUCAGAUGUGAAAGCCCCGGGCUUAACCCGGGAAGUGCAUUUGAAACUGCCUGGCUAGAGUAGGGGAGAGGGAAGUGGAAUUCCUGGUGUAGAGGUGAAAUUCGUAGAUAUCAGGAGGAACACCGGUGGCGAAGGCGACUUCCUGGCCCUAUACUGACGCUGAGACGCGAGAGCGUGGGUAGCAAACAGGAUUAGAUACCCUGGUAGUCCACGCCGUAAACGAUGUUCACUAGGUGUUGGGGGUAUUGACCCUCUCAGUGCCGGAGCUAACGCAUUAAGUGAACCGCCUGGGGAGUACGGUCGCAAGACUAAA
rnacentral:rRNA from 1 species